rnacentral:piRNA from 1 species
UACUUAUAGGGAUUUUCAUUUUGUAG